GUGAAUCAUCAAAUUUUUGAACGCAAAUUGCAUUCCCUGGUAUUCCGGGGAGUAUGCCUGUUUGAGGGUCGUUAGAAGUAAAAUUGAAGCUUCGCUCUUUUUUUGAGGGUGAUGGCGUCGGAAUUGAGCCGUCUUUCUAAUGUUAAUUCAUGUCAAAGUGGCUUAGAAUUUUUCCAUCCGAUAUGAAUAAUGCGUCUUUAAGAUCCA
rnacentral:misc_RNA from 1 species